AAGGAGAAGUCGUAACAAGGUUUCCGUAGGUGAACCUGCGGAAUGACCCGCGAACUUGUUUGGGGCCCGGAGACGGUGUCCCGCGGGAGUCGUCACGCCACAACAUUUACAUACAAUGACUUUCGGCAACGGAUAUCUCGGCUCUUGCAUCGAUGAAGAACGUAGCGAAAUGCGAUACUUGGUGUGAAUUGCAGAAUCCCGUGAACCAUCGAGUCUUUGAACGCAAGUUGCGCCCGAAGCCAUUAGGCCGAGGGCACGCCUGCCUGGGCGUCACACAUCGUUUCCCCAACGCAAACAUGUAACAAUGUUGCUGCGCGGGGUGUAUGCUGACCUCCCGCGAGCACCCGCCUCGUGGUUGGUUGAAAUCUGGGUUCAUGGCCGACUUCGCCGUGAUAAAAUGGUGGAUGAGCCACGCUCGAGACCAAUCACGUGCGAGCCGGUCAGUUCUGGACCCAUCGACGACCCUUUGCGUGCACGCACGCUCCCAACGAGACCUCAGGUCAGGCGGGGCUACCCGCUGAG
rnacentral:rRNA from 1 species